GAUGAACGCUGGCGGCGUGCUUAACACAUGCAAGUCGAACGAAGCAUUUAGGACAGAUUACUUCGGUUUGAAGUUCUUUAUGACUGAGUGGCGGACGGGUGAGUAACGCGUGGGUAACCUGCCUUGUACUGGGGGAUAGCAGCUGGAAACGGCUGGUAAUACCGCAUAAGCGCACAAUGUUGCAUGACAUGGUGUGAAAAACUCCGGUGGUAUAAGAUGGACCCGCGUCUGAUUAGCUAGUUGGUGAGAUAACAGCCCACCAAGGCGACGAUCAGUAGCCGAACUGAGAGGGUGACCGGCCACAUUGGGACUGAGACACGGCCCAGACUCCUACGGGAGGCAGCAGUGGGGAAUAUUGCACAAUGGAGGAAACUCUGAUGCAGCGACGCCGCGUGAGUGAAGAAGUAAUUCGUUAUGUAAAGCUCUAUCAGCAGGGAAGAUAGUGACGGUACCUGACUAAGAAGCUCCGGCUAAAUACGUG
rnacentral:rRNA from 1 species